ACAACAACAUUAGGACCGUCGGUCUACCGAGCAAUAUCACCCGCUCGGUGGAAGAUCUUCCCUUUGUCGUAUAUA
rnacentral:pre_miRNA from 1 species